rnacentral:tRNA from 1 species
GCCUGGGUGGUUCAGUGGUUGAACAUCUGCCUUCAGUUCAGGUCAUGAUCCCAGGGUUCUGGGUUUGAGUCCCACAUCAGGUU